GCGGGUGUAGCUCAAUGGCUAGAGUUCCAGCCUUCCAAGCUGGAUAUGCGGGUUCGAUUCCCGUCACCCGCUCCA
rnacentral:tRNA from 1 species